rnacentral:rRNA from 1 species
GUGUCAGCCGCCGCGGUAAUACGUAGGUUGCGAGCGUUGUCCGGAAUUAUUGGGCGUAAAGGGUGCGUAGGCGGUUUUAUAAGUGGGAUGUGAAAUACCUAGGCUUAACUUAGGAAUGGCAUUCCAAACUGGAAGACUAGAGUGCGGGAGAGGAAAGUGGAAUUCCCAGUGUAGCGGUGAAAUGCGUAGAGAUUGGGAGGAACACCAGUGGCGAAGGCGACUUUCUGGACUGUAACUGACGCUGAGGUACGAAAGCGUGGGGAGCAAACAGGAUUAGAAACCCCAGUAGUCC